rnacentral:rRNA from 1 species
AUCCAUGCAAGUCGAACGGCAGCACGGGAGCAAUCCUGGUGGCGAGUGGCGAACGGGUGAGUAAUAUAUCGGAACGUGCCCAGUAGUGGGGGAUAGCCCGGCGAAAGCCGGAUUAAUACCGCAUACGACCCACGGGUGAAAGCGGGGGAUCGCAAGACCUCGCGCUAUUGGAGCGGCCGAUAUCAGAUUAGCUUGUUGGUGGGGUAAAAGCCUACCAAGGCGACGAUCUGUAGCUGGUCUGAGAGGACGACCAGCCACACUGGGACUGAGACACGGCCCAGACUCCUACGGGAGGCAGCAGUGGGGAAUUUUGGACAAUGGGCGCAAGCCUGAUCCAGCCAUGCCGCGUGCGGGAAGAAGGCCUUCGGGUUGUAAACCGCUUUUGUCAGGGAAGAAAUGGUCCGCGCUAAUACCGUGGGCUAAUGACGGUACCUGAAGAAUAAGCACCGGCUAACUACGUGCCAGCAGCCGCGGUAAUACGUAGGGUGCAAGCGUUAAUCGGAAUUACUGGGCGUAAAGCGUGCGCAGGCGGUCAUGCAAGACAGAUGUGAAAUCCCCGGGCUCAACCUGGGAACCGCAUUUGUGACUGCAUGACUUGAGUACGGUAGAGGGGGAUGGAAUUCCGCGUGUAGCAGUGAAAUGCGUAGAUAUGCGGAGGAACACCGAUGGCGAAGGCAAUCCCCUGGACCUGUACUGACGCUCAUGCACGAAAGCGUGGGAGCAAACAGGAUUAGAUACCCUGGUAGUCCACGCCCUAACGAUGUCAACUGGUUGUUGGGAGGAUUUCUUCUCAGUAACGAAGCUAACGCGUGAAGUUGACCGCUGGGAGUACGGCCGCAGUGAAACUCAAGGAUUGACGGGACCGCACAGCGUGGAUGAUGUGUUUAUUCGAUGCACGCGAAAACC